rnacentral:rRNA from 1 species
GGCAGCAGUGGGGAAUAUUGGACAAUGGGCGAAAGCCUGAUCCAGCCAUGCCGCGUGUGUGAAGAAGGUCUUCGGAUUGUAAAGCACUUUAAGUUGGGGGGAAGGGCAGUAAGUUAAUACCUUGCUGUUUUGACGUUACCGACAGAAUAAGCACCGGCUAACUCUGUGCCAGCAGCCGCG